UGGCUCGAAGGGCAGCAUUUUGACACAUCCAAUAUACCUGUCCCUUGUUAAUUGAUCGUGUGGAUGAUGCUCUGCCUUUUUCCACCAGCUCUACCCUCUUUAUAUAGCUAGCACAUCCAAUAUAUGUUGCAUUAGCAGAUAUGCAAAUUAUUGCUCAAUGAGCCUAAUCCUUAGAUUGUGCUGCAUGUGGAAUUGUUUUUUUUUUGCAUCUUUCUUAAUCAUUGUUAUAUUCAACCUGGUUGAACCAACCAAUCUUCUAACGUAAAUUGUAAAAAUUUCAGGUUAGAUGCUUGUAUCUGAAGAGUACCAUGGGAAAAUCGUACCGUGUCUUUUAAGUGGCCGUUUUUAGUUUCCAGUGAAUUUAUGAUUGCACCUCAUAUAUUUAAUAUCUUAUUAGCUAGACAAGAAUUUUAAUGUUAACAGUUUUGUUGGAUUCAGUUUUGGAUAUGUUUGUGGUGCUAUUAUUGACCUAUCAUUGUUUACUUUCAACAACUCCUUGUUCUUCGUCGCUGAUCUUGAAAGCAUUUAUUCUUUAGUGAAUAUUUGCAGAGCCUUUUGCUUUUGUUUAUCUCUAUUGCUCUUGUUGACGUUUAAUUACCAAUCAAGAAUUUCAAUUUCAACUGUUUUUCUUAAAACUCAUUAUUACAAUUGUGUUUGCCUUUUGGCCACAAAAACACAAGCUAGCGAAACAUACUUUACUCACGUGAUUUAUUUUCUCAAGCAACUUCUGAUUAUUAACCAUUCAUUUCAAACUACGGGAAAGUAUUAAACUGUGCGUUUAUGUUUCCCUUACAAACUUUAAAUAUGAGAAAGGAAUUGCAGGUUUGUGAGAAAGAUGCAAAAAAAACAAGGAUUAUUGUUAAUAUAAUAUGUUGCAUUAGCAGAUAUGCAAAUUAUUGCUCAAUGAGCCUAAUCCUUAGAUUGUGCUGCAUGUGGAAUUGUUUUUUUUUUGCAUCUUUCUUAAUCAUUGUUAUAUUCAACCUGGUUGAACCAACCAAUCUUCUAACGUAAAUUGUAAAAAUUUCAGGUUAGAUGCUUGUAUCUGAAGAGUACCAUGGGAAAAUCGUACCGUGUCUUUUAAGUGGCCGUUUUUAGUUUCCAGUGAAUUUAUGAUUGCACCUCAUAUAUUUAAUAUCUUAUUAGCUAGACAAGAAUUUUAAUGUUAACAGUUUUGUUGGAUUCAGUUUUGGAUAUGUUUGUGGUGCUAUUAUUGACCUAUCAUUGUUUACUUUCAACAACUCCUUGUUCUUCGUCGCUGAUCUUGAAAGCAUUUAUUCUUUAGUGAAUAUUUGCAGAGCCUUUUGCUUUUGUUUAUCUCUAUUGCUCUUGUUGACGUUUAAUUACCAAUCAAGAAUUUCAAUUUCAAC
rnacentral:lncRNA from 1 species